UUAAUUUCCAACGAAUUUAACGUCGAUGACUAUAAAUGUGAUGAAAUAUGACAAUAACACCUCUAGUCAACCGACUUGUUUGACAACAUGGUCUACCCAAAUUGUGUAAUUUAACAACGGUCAUAACGUUAUAUCGCUAGCUACUGUAGGUGUACAAAAUUCACAAAGUUUAUUUGACCACUGACAAUCCUGUAAAACCUUAGCUAACAUUUAUAUCAACUAAAAGUUGAAAUUCUAUACUAUUUAAUUGUCUAUUUUCUUUCGUUUUUUGAUGGCAUGCGUUUGAAGUGUAUGUAGUUGAAUGCAUUGUAUGAUAUGUGACAGCCUGAUGGUCAUUGGGGGCAAACGUGUCUUUCUAUGUAAACUGAAUUUAACUGCAUAUGAAAUAAUAAUCACCCUAACCCUACCCAUAACCCCCAAACCCCCCACUGCUGUCUUCCUCCUAGCAGACCUAUCAAGCAAACGUAAGUUUCUUUAUAUGUAUCUAAUAUGGUUAUACUGUCACUUGUCACUGCACUCAUCAGUCAUGAUAAUAGUUUUUUUUUUGCCUCCUAAGAUGGAAAAUCCAAGGUUCCGUUUCACGCCCUCACAGGAGUUGGUCCUCAAGGCCACACCCCAGGCAGUAAGAGUGGCUGCUGACGGCCCCCCUGCUUCUGGUGCUCAGGGCUCUCCUGUGAGGACUAAGAAGUGGGAGGAAGUGGAGGCAGAGGCUCGCGCCCGCGUCGUCUCCGAGGGAGGUGACCCCGGUGCAGAGAUGGUCAUCCUGAACCGGUGCACGGUUCCGUUCGGCAAGUACUGGGGUCAGACAUUCAAGUGGAUGAUGGAGAACGACGUAGGCUACAUGUGUACGUGGUAACAGUACAUCAGAAGGAGAGGGAGCGAGAGCGCAGCGUUUCCCAGCAUCCCCUGAUGGGCCAACAAGGACGCCUUGACUCGCUACUCGUGCGCCAAUCCGGCCUUCGCUGAGAUGGUCAGGUUCAACCGGGCACAGGAGGAAGCUAAAGUCCUGUCCUCCCAGCCAGGCCAGGAGGGCCUGGCCCUUGUUGGCAUCAGGAAGUACAAGUGGGACUCGCUGCAGGACCUGUAUGAGACUACAGGUGCAGACAGGAUAAGAUAUGUCAGGAGCUUGAGGAUGCAGACACCCCGUUAUCCUGGGACUGCAAUGGCCGCCUUGAUUGGCUACAUUCAGCGCAGAGACCAGGAGGGGGUAGCUGCUGUGGCCCAGCCCGCCUCAGCCAGCACCACCCCCGCCAGUAACACCCGGCCCAAGAGUGCGGCUACGCCUCUUGGUCCUGCGAUCUCUGCGUUCCUGUCAAGGCGCUCUCUCACCCAGGUGAACUGCAGUCGAAGAUGAAGAAGCUCAUUGCCUCUCAGCCUGCAGUUCAAGGGGUGUCUUUCCCUCGACCAGCACUGCCACCAACAGAUCUAUCGGACUCAGAGCUGGUCAAAGCAGCUGCUGACAUAGACACAUCCCGAGGAAAUGUAUUGGGGCAGAGCGAAGAGGAGGAUUUGCCCCGGCAGUACUUCCUGCCUCCAAGGCCCUCAGAAAGUGCUGAGCUGCUGAUUCCAGAGAGUUGGCAUUCAUCUCUCACCAAGUAGCAGCAGUGGUGGAUCGGCCGCACGCUGUUCACCAGGAAUCCCCGACCCCUUCUUCGCAUGUCAGCUGUUCCUUUGGAUGCCCGUACCUAUAUGGGCAUACAAGCUGGCACGCCCCCAGUCUGCAAGACUCUGCAAGACCACCCGGAGGGUCUUGGACAUCGACCUCUUGUAUCUCAUGGCCACUGAGUGCCUGGAAUGCGGUCGAUGUAAGAAGGUGGCGGGGUGGUCACGGGACCUUGUCAGUCAGCUGGACGCUCGGCAUCUCUGCCAGUUUCCAGCAAUAUUGACAUAGAAGUAACUUCACAAGAUUUAGUUAGUUAGUAAUAAAGUAAAAUAAAAGCGUGUCAUUCAUAUGCUUUAUCUCUCUCUCUCUCUGGGCUGUCCUGUGACCUGCGGGUUGUGAGGAUGCUGAGGUCGCGCACUUUGGGGAACAGUGCGUCACAGACCUACAGCAAGCUGUGUGAAAGUCACAGCGAGUCCUGGAUGCGGAGUGGAAUACGGUACCUCGGGGAGUGCGAGCAGUUUCUGGCCUUGGGCACUGGGCGGCAGUUCACUGAUCUACCGGAGAUGCCCCCGGUGCCCUCACCUGUCUGGCUGCUGACAGUCUACAGCCAUGACGUGUUGUCGCGGCUGGACGAGGUGAAGGCCAGGGUCACCUCCAUCUUUGGGUCCAUCUUAAAGAUGGACUCUACCAAGAAGGUGACUAAAAAGCUUGCGGGUACCGCUGCAGACACGGCCGCCUGGGUUACCAACGUCGGUAAUGAGCAUGGACUGGUCCUCGUCAGUGUCGUCACUGCCGGUGAGGGCGAGGGCUGCUCCCCAAGGCGGCUGGUCUCAUGGAGUGGUACAGGCUCGCCGGGGUGGCGCCCCCCCAGCUCAUGUACGUGGACUGAGACUGCUGCUCCAGCUUUGGUGGAUCAAAGACAGCUGCCAUGUACAAUGAGUGGGACCAGCUGGUGAUUCGGCUGGACAUCUGGCACCUGAUGCGGCGGUUUGCGCCAGGUGUCACCACUGAGAGCCACCAGCUCUACAGUCCCUUCAUGCGGCAGCUGUCAGCCUGCAUCUUUGAGUGGGAUGCAGGCGAUGUCCGCCGACUGCUGGAGGCCAAGACGUCUGCGCUGGAGGGGAGGCACGGGAUGGUCGGCCUCACCGAGGAGGAGGUUUCGAGGCUGAUCGGCAGGAAGGAGAUUGCACUUCACUGUCGGGGUUGUACGCGUGGAGCUGCGGCGACCGAAGUCCUUCUCCUUGACCUCCUCGAGACCUUCAACAGCGAGAAGGGGGUCGACACCCUGGGCAUCCCGUUGCUGGACUCCAUCCACAUCCAGGCAAUCUGGCAAGAGCAGAGGCGCCACCUCCACUGCAUACAAGACCCACCCGGGGUAUACAGGUGUACACCGAGACCGGCAAAAUCACGCCACGCCUUGGUUUAUCUCUGCGCACCGGGCUCCACAUCCUUGGAGUCAUUCCACCUCAACCGGUACCAGGGCAAAUGCAAUGCAUUUCCAGGCAUUCCUGUUGGAUGGACUGGUGAGGUGAAACGAGGACCGUGCGCAUGCAGCAGUGGAGGGAAAGAACAGGCAGUCCCUGCUCUCCUACAGUGGCCACCUGCAGCACAUCCUUAACCUUAGCAGCCAAAGGGUGCUUGGCAAGGAACAGGAUUUUUAUUUUUUUGCUUAAAUAGGGGAACUCCUCGGAGUGGAGUACCUGUACUCGCAGACUGGCAGAGUGCUGCAGGAUGUCAGCGUGGACCCUGACCUUCCUGGAAGAGGCAGCCACCGUCAAGCAGCUCGAUGAGGAGGACGAGGGCUUUCAGGAGGAUGUGGACCCGACAAUCCACAUCCCUCAUGUCACUCAUAUGAGCGCCCCGUCCUCCAGCUCAGCUGCACCUCUGUCAGGGGAACCCGCUGACGCAUCCAGGUCUGGGCCAUCCAGUCCCACCGCCCCUGAAGACGGAAGCUCUCCUGAGGCCCCUGAUCGACACGGUUCUCCUCACCCUGACAACUCCUCUGAUUCAGAGGGGGAGACGCAAGGCCCUAAUGCAAUGCCUGGCUACCAGCAUGUCCGCAGGCUUGCCAGGGCCUUGGUGGGGGUGAGGAACCGUCAGGGGCUGUCGGACCGCAGGGUAGACGGUCUGGUGGCGCUGUGGCUGGCGCUUGAUCUACCCUGCCCGACACCAGGAGAGGAUCGUUCAGGGGCGGUUCAAGGCAACGAAGGGGAAGUCGUCCAUUGUCAUAGUAAAAGACUCUCUCUAAUGUUGCCUUCUUGGACUCAACUCGGGCCCUGCAAAUUGGCCGGGCACCAGCCGUUUGGUGGAGGCCAUUUGCAGUCAGCUCUACCAAAUCCAUCCCAGCGCCAUCAGCCUACUUUAUGAUACAGAAUGCAGGGAUGUGUACUGAACCUGUACCCAUAAUAAAACAAAGUGCUCUAUGCAUCUAAAGGCUUUAAUGAAGUGGCAUCUGCAUUCAUAUAGAUGAUUUUGCAAUAGUCUAGGACCAGUAAGAACAUAGAUUGAACUAUCUGCUUUGUAUUAUUAAGCAAGAGGCCUGACCUAUUUCUAUAGAAGAAGACCCUUUUUAUAUUCAGCAUCUUAAUUAACUCAUCAAUAUGUUUUAAAAAAAAGACAACUUAACGUAUUUACUGAUACACCACCGUACUAGGGACGUACACUUCAAUCAUUAGAAUAAUUUUUGUGUCCUCUAGAAAACAACAUACUUAGUUUUCCAUGUAUUCAAUAAUAAUUUAAGGUCAAAGGUUUUCUGCAAAAUAUUGAAAGCAUAAUGUAGUUCAGAUAGAGUAUGAUCAGCAGGGCGGGCGAUAGAGUACUCAACCGUAUCGUCUGCAUACAGGUGCAGGUAAAACAUUAUUAUUAUUAUAUAUUUCUGACAAAACAAUAUUAUUCAUGUAUAAAAUAGUUGUUUAUUAGACAUUCUAACAUAACACAAUAUCUAGAUACUAAAACAUGUAUAUGCAACAUUUGAACAACAAUUUCGACCCCCUCGGGUUAUAAAGUAUAUGACAUGACGACACAUUGGCUAUUUUAGUAUUCCUUUUUUUAUUUACAUGUUUAUAAUUCGAAAGUAUAUUUUUAGAGUGGAGGGAAAUAUUUUUAUGUUAAACUGUAGAGAACAAGAAGCUUUGGUGAAUCAAAGAGUCACUGAUGUUUUGUAUACAGUACCACACAUAUCCAGAAGGCUCGUUCUGACAAUAAACAAGAAGUUUUAACGUUUCAAACGAGGAUGUCAAGACAGGUCCGUACUGUAGUACUACGCUAUUACACUGUUAUGUACUACUAAUGUUCUAGUAUCUAGGAUGUUAAGGAAUAUCUAUAGGGGGGAACAUGUACAAGAUAUAACACAUUCCCCACUGCAUCGAAGGAUGCUGACACUGACAUUGUAUUAUGUGAAAGUAGCAUAAGUAUGUGUAAUGAGUUUACAAUUUUGUUUAAAAGUUCAGAAUAUGUCUAGGGAAUAUUGAGAUGGGGUACAUAUAUUAUGUAUUUCCAUGUCUUACACAUGUUUAAUAACUUGUGAGUUGUAGACAUAUUUUGAUUUAGUUCAGCGUUGAGUCGUUUUGUUUUACAUGUAAUCUAAGAUCUUCACAACCUAAUACAUAUACAACUUUUUUCAUUCCCCCCAUGGCUAUAUAAACCCAACUCUAGGUUUCAUUUGCAUUAUAAUAAUGAUUUACAAAUGAAAAAGUCAAUAGUUAAUUGCAUAUUAUGUAAUU